UCGAAGGACGAACGGCUGGCGGCGUGCCUAAUACAUGCAAGUCGAACGGUCUUUCUAUGGAAGCUUGCUUCCACUGAGAAGAUAGUGGCGAACGGGUGAGUAACACGUGGGUAACCUGCCCAUAAGAGGGGGGAUAACAUCCGGAAACGGGUGCUAAUACCGCAUAGUUUUCUUGAUCGCAUGAUCGGGAAAGGAAAGACGGCCUUUGUGCUGUCGCUUAUGGAUGGACCCGCGGCGUAUUAGUUAGUUGGUGAGGUAACGGCUCACCAAGACGAUGAUACGUAGCCGACCUGAGAGGGUGAUCGGCCACAUUGGGACUGAGACACGGCCCAAACUCCUACGGGAGGCAGCAGUAGGGAAUCUUCCGCAAUGGACGAAAGUCUGACGGAGCAACGCCGCGUGAGUGAAGAAAGGUUUUCGGAUCGUAAAACUCUGUUGUCAGAGAAGAACAAGUUGGAGAGUAACUGCUCCAGCCUUGACGGUAUCUGACCAGAAAGCCACGGCUAACUACGUGCCAGCAGCCGC
rnacentral:rRNA from 1 species